AACGCACAUUGCGCCUUAAGGUAUUCCUCAAGGCAUGCCUGUUUGAGAAUCAGUAAACCUCUCAAAUCUAUCUUGAUGGUGGAUUUGGACUUGGAAAUUCUUGAUAAAGAUUUCUUAAUUGAAUUUGUUGCUUAUUGAUGCUAGCUGGAUAGUAUGAAAGGCAUGACCAAUGAACGCAAGUUCUUUGAUUGCAACUAGUCUAUUUAAGCUUUUUCUAUGUGGCACAAAUUAAACUUCACGAAGGCGCGUCAAAACGCCUUUAAGACUUGAUCUCAAAUCAGACAAGACUACCCGCUGAACUUAA
rnacentral:misc_RNA from 1 species